rnacentral:misc_RNA from 1 species
GUGAAUCAUCAAAUCUUUGAACGCAAAUUGCACUCUCCUCGGAGAGUAUGCCUGUUUGAGGGUCAGCCUAUAAAAAUCGACAUCGGUGCUGUUUCGCGGGUGCGUUCGUCGGAAAUUGGGGCAUCUUAAAUCCCUUGGAUUUAAACGACUUAAAAUUUUCUUUUAGUUCCAUGAACGUGUCUAAGAGUUAUUUCUUUACACGGUUAAGGUAUCGAUUUUUAUUAGACGUGACCAUCAUAUCUGAGCGCGCGCAUAAUCAUUCAUUGAC